rnacentral:rRNA from 1 species
UACGGAGGGUGCGAGCGUUAAUCGGAAUUACUGGGCGUAAAGCGCACGUAGGCGGUUGAGUAAGUCUGCCGUGAAAGCCCUGGGCUUAACCGAGGAAUGGCGGUGGAGACUGCUGAGCUAGAGUGUGAGAGAGGGGGGUGGAAUUCCCGGUGUAGCGGUGAAAUGCGUAGAGAUCGGGAGGAACACCAGUGGCGAAGGCGGCCCCCUGGUUCAACACUGACGCUGAGGUGCGAAAGCGUGGGGAGCAAACAUG